AUUUAUAUAGUAUAAUAUAUUAUUCUUGACUUCCAAUCAAAAGAUCUGAAACCAGUAUAAAUA
rnacentral:tRNA from 1 species